AUGGAGAGAGCUCAAUGCUUGAGAAAAGGAAUUCUGUCCUUUGAAAGGUCUCUAGAACAAAGGAGUCUUAUUCUGUCACCUAGGCUGGAGUACAGUGGUGCAAUCACAGCUCACUGCAGCCUCGAUCUCCUGGACUCAACUAAUCCUCCUGCCUCAGCCUUCUGGGUAGUUGAGACUACAGAAGAUGAGAGAGAGAAAAAGAGAGAAAUUACAGAGUGA
rnacentral:lncRNA from 10 species